AUGCUUAACACAUGCAAGUCGAACGGAAACGACACUAACAAUCCUUCGGGUGCGUUAAUGGGCGUCGAGCGGCGGACGGGUGAGUAAUGCCUAGGAAAUUGCCUUGAUGUGGGGGAUAACCAUUGGAAACGAUGGCUAAUACCGCAUAAUGCCUACGGGCCAAAGAGGGGGAUCUUCGGACCUCUCGCGUCAAGAUAUGCCUAGGUGGGAUUAGCUAGUUGGUGAGGUAAUGGCUCACCAAGGCGACGAUCCCUAGCUGGUCUGAGAGGAUGAUCAGCCACACUGGAACUGAGACACGGUCCAGACUCCUACGGGAGGCAGCAGUGGGGAAUAUUGCACAAUGGGCGAAAGCCUGAUGCAGCCAUGCCGCGUGUAUGAAGAAGGCCUUCGGGUUGUAAAGUACUUUCAGUUGUGAGGAAGGGUGUGUAGUUAAUAGCUGCGCAUCUUGACGUUAGCAACAGAAGAAGCACCGGCUAACUCCGUGCCAGCAGCCGCGGUAAUACGGAGGGUGCGAGCGUUAAUCGGAAUUACUGGGCGUAAAGCGCAUGCAGGUGGUUCAUUAAGUCAGAUGUGAAAGCCCGGGGCUCAACCUCGGAACUGCAUUUGAAACUGGUGAACUAGAGUACAAGAGAGGGGUGUGGAAUUUCCUGUGUAGCGGUGAAAUGCGUAGAUAUAGGAAGGAACACCAGUGG
rnacentral:rRNA from 1 species